rnacentral:rRNA from 1 species
AACAAAAACAUGUCUUUUUGAUUAUAAUUUAAAGUCUAGCCUGCCCAAUGAUUAUAAAUUGAAUGGCCGCGGUAUUUUGACCGUGCUAAGGUAGCAUAAUAAUUAGUUUUUUAAUUGAGAACUGGUAUGAAUGGUUGGACAAAGAAAAUUCUGUCUCAAGUUUAAUUUAAUUAGAAUUUUAUUUUUAAGUAAAAAAGCUUAAAUAUAUUUAAAAGACGAGAAGACCCUAUAGAGUUUUAUAUUAUUAAUUAUAAAUAAUUUAAAGAAUUAUAAAUUUUAUAUAAUUAAUAAUAUUUUGUUGGGGUGACAAAAAAAUUUAAUUAACUUUUUUUAUAUAAAAUCAUUGAUUUAUGAUUAGAUGAUCCAUUAUUUAUGAUUAAAAGAUUAAAUUACCUUAGGGAUAACAGCGUAAUUUUUUUUAAGAGUUCAUAUCGAAAAAAAAG